CCUACGGGAGGCAGCAGUGGGGAAUAUUGGGCAAUGGAGGAAACUCUGACCCAGCGACGCCGCGUGCGGGAUGAAGGCCUUCGGGUUGUAAACCGCUUUCAGUAGGGAAGAAGCGAAAGUGACGGUACCUACAAAAGAAGCACCGGCCAACUAUGUGCCAGCAGCCGCGGUAAUACAUAGGGUGCAAGCGUUGUCCGGAAUUAUUGGGCGUAAAGAGCUCGUAGGUCGUUUGUUACGUCGGAUGUGAAAACCUGAGGCUCAACCUCAGGCCUGCAUUCGAUACGGGCAAACUAGAGUUUGGUAGGGGAGACUGGAAUUCCUGGUGUAGCGGUGGAAUGCGCAGAUAUCAGGAGGAACACCAAUGGCGAAGGCAGGUCUCUGGGCCAAUACUGACACUGAGGAGCGAAAGUCUGGGGAGCGAACAGGAUUAGAUACCCUGGUAGUCCAGACCGUAAACGGUGGGCACUAGUUGUGGGAACCUUCCACGGUUUCUGCGACGCAGCUAACGCAUUAAGUGCCCCGCCUGGGGAGUACGAUCGCAAGAUUAAAACUUAAAUGAAUUGACGG
rnacentral:rRNA from 1 species